rnacentral:lncRNA from 1 species
AUCAAGCAUCAUACCAACUCAACGGACACGAGUUUUGAAAGACUGCAGCGUUUACACGUCCUUGGAAUUAGUUGUCACAAAACGGAAUAGGAAAAAAGAAUAUGAGGGAGGAGGAACCACUCCUUUGAAGUUGAGAAAGUCACAUUUGAAAUGAGGACAAUUUUCAGAGCCAGUGACGAAAGCAGACAGUCCAUCUCAUGAAGGAAGAGGCUCCCGAAAGGCAGGAGUUCAGUCAUCAGCAGGAAGGGAAACGAGACAGACUCAGUGAGAACUUCGGUGUUGCCGGGAUCCCCAAGAAUGGACUCAGGUCUUCGUCUCAAGUUUCAGGCUGCACAGGGAAAUGCAGAGUCAAAGAACAUAUUGAAAUACGAAUAUGCCCUGUGGUGCCCAGAACUACUGGAAAUAUGUGGGUAGUGGAGAAGAAACUGUAUCUGCAACGUGUGGCACCAGAAGCUGAUGUGUGGGAAAUUCUUCCAAACAGCAAACGUGUAAAACGGUAAACUGAGAAUUUGGUUCUCAUUGCUGUCUUGUCAACAUGGAAGUUCCAUGCUCUUGGAAACAUACUCAACUCUCAGUUUUUGUUUUUUAACAGGAAUCAUACAAAAUAGAAUUUAUAAGAAUUUCUUUGCUGAUAAAGCACAAGCAUGUAUUAAUACUACUGAGAGAGUGUGUCUGUGUGUGAAGCCACAUGUUUUAUCAACCAUACUAAAGACUGAAUUAUCUUUCUAUUCUACCAAUUUAAACAAACAAUAUUCUAAAAUUGUUAUCAUACAAGAGGCAAUUGAAGAAUUUGCCAAAACAUAUAGGACAAAAGUAUUACCAA